UACGGAGGGUGCAAGCGUUAUCCGGAUUCACUGGGCGUAAAGGGCUCGUAGGUGGCCAACUAAGUCAGACGUGAAAUCCCUCAGCUUAACUGGGGAACUGCGCCUGAUACUGGAUGGCUUGAGUUUGGGAGAGGGAUGCGGAAUUCCAGGUGUAGCGGUGAAAUGCGUAGAUAUCUGGAGGAACACCGGUGGCGAAGGCGGCAUCCUGGACCAACACUGACACUGAGGAGCGAAAGCCAGGGGAGCAAACGGG
rnacentral:rRNA from 1 species